rnacentral:lncRNA from 1 species
UUUAAUAGUUGGACAACUAUCUCUCCAUAUCUGGUGUCAUUCAUCAAUUCACUUAACCAUCAGGGCCCAAUAUUUAUAUAACAUAAUUAUCUUAAUUUCUUUACAUGAGUCGUUUACUUUUUCCUCGGAUUAUAGAAUCUGUCAUUAAACAAAAAUCCUUAUUUAUAACUAUAUAACAUCUAGAAUUUAACAAAUACUUGAAACAUCAAAAGACUAAAUCUCUUUGAAUUUAAUUCAUACUUAUACCAUAUUAAACCAUAAGGUGCCACAAUUCAUACAAGAUCCACUACUAGGCACAUAAAAAUUAAUUUAUUUCUUACUAAGAAUCACAAUUUACUUUUUUUUUUAUAACCAUAACAAUUCAUAGUAUUCCCGAUAUUCAUACAGUUGAAAACUAACUGAUGAAUACCACAAUAUACUUUACUCCACCAAGUAGUAAUUAUUGCUCAUAAAUAGAAAUCACUUCUCAUAAAUGGCUUGAAAUAAUGUUUUAUUCCACCAGCAUUAUUUCUUAUGAAAAAUACUCAUCACUCAUUAUUAUAGCAAGUCACAUCAAAUUAUUCAUCAUUUAAACCUUAUAAAUAUCCAUUAUGUAAAUACACCAAUUCUGUCCAAAAGAAUGCUUAUCACAAUAGUCAUACUAAAUGCCAUUAGCCAAAAUCA